ACAGAGGUCUCAAGCGUUGUUCGGAUUCAUUGGGCGUAAAGGGCGCGUAGGCGGCUCGCUAAGUCGGAUGUGAAAACUCUGGGCUCAACCCAGAGCCUGCAUUCGAAACUGGGGAGCUCGAGUUCUGGAGGGGAAAGCGGAAUUCCUGGUGUAGCGGUGAAAUGCGUAGAUAUCAGGAGGAACACCGGUGGCGAAGGCGGCUUUCUGGACAGAAACUGACGCUGAUGCGCGAAAGCUAGGGGAGCAAACAGGA
rnacentral:rRNA from 1 species